rnacentral:rRNA from 1 species
CAGUCGCCACGGUAAUACGAAGGGUGCAAGCGUUAAUCGGAAUUACUGGGCGUAAAGCGUGCGUAGGCGGUGAGUUAAGUCUGCUGUGAAAUCCCCGGGCUCAACCUGGGAAUGGCAAUGGAUACUGGCAAGCUAGAGUGUGUCAGAGGAUGGUGGAGUUCCCGGUGUAGCGGUGAAAUGCGUAGAGAUCGGGAGGAACAUCAGUGGCGAAGGCGGCCAUCUGGGACAACACUGACGCUGAGGCACGAAAGCAUGGGGAGCAAACAGGAUUAGAUACCCCAGUAGUCCCUGUCUCUUAUAC